AGAUAUGGAAGCCGGGUGACCGGUGGAGUUGACUGGUACUAAUAGGCCGAGGGCUUGUCCUCAGUUG
rnacentral:rRNA from 1 species